UGGGCGUAAGGGCUCGCAGGCGGUUUCUUAAGUCUGAUGUGAAAGCCCCCGGCUCAACCGGGGAGGGUCAUUGGAAACUGGGAAACUUGAGUGCAGAAGAGGAGAGUGGAAUUCCACGUGUAGCGGUGAAAUGCGUAGAGAUGUGGAGGAACACCAGUGGCGAAGGCGACUCUCUGGUCUGUAACUGACGCUGAGGAGCGAAAGCGUGGGGAGCGAACAGGAUUAGAUACCCUGGUAGUCCACGCCGUAAACGAUGAGUGCUAAGUGUUAGGGGGUUUCCGCCCCUUAGUGCUGCAGCUAACGCAUUAAGCACUCCGCCUGGGGAGUACGGUCGCAAGACUGAAACUCAAAGGAAUUGACGGGGGCCCGCACAAGCGGUGGAGCAUGUGGUUUAAUUCGAAGCAACGCGAAGAACCUUACCAGGUCUUGACAUCCUCUGACAACCCUAGAGAUAGGGCUUUCCCUUCGGGGACAGAGUGACAGGUGGUGCAUGGUUGUCGUCAGCUCGUGUCGUGAGAUGUUGGGUUAAGUCCCGCAACGAG
rnacentral:rRNA from 1 species